UGCUGGGUGGAUUAGUGGCGAACGGGUGAGUAACACGUGAGUAACCUGCCCCUGACUCUGGGAUAAGCGUUGGAAACGACGUCUAAUACUGGAUAUGAUCACUGGCCGCAUGGUCUGGUGGUGGAAAGAUUUUUUGGUUGGGGAUGGACUCGCGGCCUAUCAGCUUGUUGGUGAGGUAAUGGCUCACCAAGGCGACGACGGGUAGCCGGCCUGAGAGGGUGACCGGCCACACUGGGACUGAGACACGGCCCAGACUCCUACGGGAGGCAGCAGUGGGGAAUAUUGCACAAUGGGCGAAAGCCUGAUGCAGCAACGCCGCGUGAGGGAUGACGGCCUUCGGGUUGUAAACCUCUUUUAGUAGGGAAGAAGCGAAAGUGACGGUACCUGCAGAAAAAGCACCGGCUAACUACGUGCCAGCAGCCGCGGUAAUACGUAGGGUGCAAGCGUUGUCCGGAAUUAUUGGGCGUAAAGAGCUCGUAGGCGGUUUGUCGCGUCUGCUGUGAAAUCCCGAGGCUCAACCUCGGGCUUGCAGUGGGUACGGGCAGACUAGAGUGCGGUAGGGGAGAUUGGAAUUCCUGGUGUAGCGGUGGAAUGCGCAGAUAUCAGGAGGAACACCGAUGGCGAAGGCAGAUCUCUGGGCCGUAACUGACGCUGAGGAGCGAAAGCAUGGGGAGCGAACAGGAUUAGAUACCCUGGUAGUCCAUGCCGUAAACGUUGGGCGCUAGAUGUAGGGACCUUUCCACGGUUUCUGUGUCGUAGCUAACGCAUUAAGCGCCCCGCCUGGGGGAG
rnacentral:rRNA from 1 species